GCAGCAAUCCCCAGAGCUGCCGGUGAGCCCGCGGCACGCUCUGAAUUACGCUCACAUUGCUGAGAGGAUGGGUCACAUUUUGGGAAUCCGCCCUGACCUCCUCUGGUGAUGCUCUGGCUUCCUGAGGAUGGAGACACGGAACAAAUUCUUGCCCAGACUUGAGGAACUUUACGACACUGGGUGAUGAAAAAGCUCCCAAAUCCUUGCAAAGGGGGCCUUGCCUGGUGGACACCCCUCCUGGAGGUGGGAUGGGGACAAGGCGAUGGUAUGAGCCGCACAUCCUGGGGUAAAUGGGGCACAAAGCAGGAGGAGAAAGUGCUCUGGAUCUCCCCCAUCACUUCUGAAGGUCUGCCUCAGGGGCACAGCAGGACCUCUCCAGCACAAAUCCUUGGUGUGCUCCUUGCCUCAGGGGCAACAGGGUUUGCAGGGCGGAUUUCUUUGUGCCGGCCGCGGGACACGGACCUGCCCAAACCCGCAGCACAUGAAAGCGGCUCCUGCCCGCGGCAGGAUCGGGUUGCAAAGGCACCGAGCUCUCCUCGGCGGAGCCCUGCACCUGCCCGGAGUUUGAUGGGGAUGGGAGAAAAGACAGCGGAUCAGGGCCAGGAGAAGCUGCUUUUCCCCCACCUUCGCCAUGUGUUCGAGUUUGCCGUCUGAGCACCCAAGAUGACAAGCGCCAAAAAAGAUGAAAUAGCAUCGUUAUCACCCAAAUUUGCAUUAAAAGUGCGGUUUGGUCUCUGUCUGGGCGUGGUGGCUGUAACCAGCUCCUAAUUCCGCUGCUUCAGGUGCCUCCAAUUUCUCCUGUGCCAGUAGCUCCUUUGAUUUUGGGACCUUAUUCUUUGCCGUUUUGGUGAGUGCAGCCCAAAUACACCCAGAAGUGUCUUGUGAGAACAAGCUUAUUCCAAUUGUGAGAGAACACAAGGAAUUUGCUCCUUGAAAAUAUUCAGAUGAAUUUGUUGAUAUAUUCUGAACGGGUUGAUAGAGCAUUUUUAGUGAUAAGGCACCUCCCAGUCUUGCUGGAUUCUUUGUGAGCAGGUGCUCAUUUUGUCAAUUGUUCAAGUAAAAUAGCUGUUUCUGUCCUCCUUA